rnacentral:rRNA from 1 species
UACAGAGGGUGCUAGCGUUAAUCGGAAUUACUGGGCGUAAAGCGUGUGUAGGUGGUUAGAUAAGUUAGAUGUGAAAUCCCCGGGCUUAACCUGGGCAUUGCGUUUAAGACUGUUUAGCUUGAGUACUGUAGAGGAUAGUGGAAUUUCCAGUGUAGCGGUGAAAUGCGUAGAUAUUGGAAGGAACACCAGUGGCGAAGGCGACUAUCUGGACAGAUACUGACACCGAGACACGAAAGCGUGGGGAGCAAACAGG